rnacentral:rRNA from 1 species
CCUACGGGAGGCAGCAGUGAGGAAUAUCGGUCAAUGGCCGGAAGGCUGAACCAGCCAUGCCGCGUGAAGGUCAGUGCCCUAUGGGCGUUAAACUUCUUUUGUGCGGGAGCAAUAAUGGUCACGUGUGGCCAGACGAGAGUACCGUACGAAUAAGCAUCGGCUAACUCCGUGCCAGCAGCCGCGGUAAUACGGGGGAUGCAAGCGUUAUCCGGAUUUAUUGGGUUUAAAGGGUGCGUAGGCUGUGAGGUAAGUCAGCGGGGAAAUGCCCCCGCUCAACGGGGUGAAGUGCCAUUGAUACUGCCUUGCUGGAAUGCGGAUGCCGUGGGAGGAAUGUGUGGUGUAGCGGUGAAAUGCAUAGAUAUCACACAGAACACCGAUUGCGAAGGCAUCUCACGAAUCCGCGAUUGACGCUGAUGCACGAAAGCGUGGGUAUCAAACAGGAUUAGAUACCCCGGUAGUC